GCUUUAUAUCACAAAUGUGUAGCUUGUUUAGAUGGAGUUUAGCUUAAUGUGGGAGAUAUUUUGUUGGGGUGACAGGAAGAUAUAAGAAACUCUUCUUUUAGUAGACCAUAAAUAUAUGAAUAAAUGAUCCAGUGAGAGGGAUUAAAAGACUAAGU
rnacentral:rRNA from 1 species